GUCGAGAAUCAUUCACAAUGGGGGCAACCCUGAUGGUGCGACGCCGCGUGGGGGAGGAAGGUCUUCGGAUUGUAAACCCCUGUCAUGUGGGAGCAAGGCGCAAGCUUGAUAGUACCACAAGAGGAAGAGACGGCAAACUCUGUGCCAGCAGCCGCGGUAAUACAGAGGUCUCAAGCGUUGUUCGGAAUCACUGGGCGUAAAGGGUACGUAGGCUGCCGUAUAAGUCGUGCGUGAAAGGCAGGGGCUCAACCUCUGGAGUGCGCAUGAUACUGUAUGGCUGGAGUAAUGGAGGGGGAACCGGAAUUCUUGGUGUAGCAGUGAAAUGCGUAGAUAUCAAGAAGAAGACUCGUGGCGAAGGCGGGUUCCUGGACAUUCACUGACGCUGAGGUACGAAGGCCGGGGGAGCGA
rnacentral:rRNA from 1 species